rnacentral:tRNA from 1 species
GUCGCAUUCGUCUAGUCGGGUAAGGAUUUCACAUUUUCACUGUGAAGACGCUGGUUCAAAUCCAGUAUGCGAUACCA